GAUGGGGUGGGCGGCUGGGAGGAAGCGGGAGGCCCUGCUUCUGCUGCCCGGUGCGCGGCAGUUCCGACACCAGGAUUUUCUUCAGUAUCCGAGCAGGAAAAGCCGCUCCCCUGCACCUGGCUUCCUGCCUCAUCCCCUCGUGUCGGGCUAACGGGGGUCUCGUGGGGCUUAGGGAGUGGUUGGCGAGGGAAGGGGUGUGUGUGGGCGCGCGCGUGUGUGUGCGCGCGCGUGUGCCGCGCCCGGAGGGAGAAGGGCAGAGUCUGCCGCAGGGCCCCCUCCUCGCUUCCCCUCUUCCCAGCCCUUGGUUGCUAUGCAGUUUCUAUGGCAGCAGCAUCCUCAGACCCAACUUGCACCCAUCAUUUAGAGCUAAUUAAGCACUUGGUCAGACGGAAAGGAAAGUUUUAAAAAAUGCCGAUUGCACAGUUGCUGGAGCUAUGGAAAAAGAUCGAGGUGGAGCCCAUGGAAAUAGAGACCGCCGAGGAGGAUCUUGACCUGGACUCGGAGCCCACCAUCAAAGAUACCGUGGAAGAACAGGGCAAAUGGGACUCGGCCUUGCCUGAGACAAAGUCAGCUGCGUCCGUGGAGGUAAGACCUGUUCGAGUUGGCUUGUGUUUCUCCUGAGAAUAUGAGUUCCAGGUUUAAAAGAGUGUUGAGCGCGAAGUGUUCUUUCAGUUUCUUGCGUUACCUGACCCUGCUCAGUCCAGCGGAGCCGGCCGUGGUGUGCUCUUAGAGGGGGGAUCCCGCACAGUGAAGUUUCCAUUAUCUGACGUUCCGGGUUUAGUGAUGAAACGCCUGGACUGGUGCAAUAACGUCUUUGUGCAGCAGGGGUCUGCCUUGUGUGCGUAGGUGGGACAGUCUCCUGCUUUCUCUGAAGACGGUGGGUUCUGUUCUGAAUCUGUGGGUCGCUGGGGUCAUCAUAUAUAUGAUUCCAUGUGCAUUAUUCCUUUUCAAACUCUACCAUGUGCCUUCAAAAUAAGCCGGGAGUCACAACAACAAGGGAGCCCUCAGAACGAGGUGACGCUGGGGUGGGAGGCUGGCCCCAUGCUGGGUCUGCCGGGAGCUGUGGGACUGUACUGACUGCAUGUGGAGGUCAAGUCCUCAUCAGAAGCUUGUCUAGGAAUUAGGCCUAAAAUGGGUCAUUUUAGAUGAAGGUAGAUUUCCUGCAGUAUUUCAAGCAGCUAUGUGGUUUGAAUAGUAACAUCGUAAAUAAGAAGUUUGGUAAAGUGGUUUUAUGGGUGUUUUACUUUUCCUGACUCCCUGGAAACCGCUACGUGUCCAGGCAAAGCCAUGACAUCCGUAUUCAUCGGGGCGAAUAUUCCCAGCGGGCAAGGCGGGAGAAGACGCUUCCGCGAGUGGUCAGUCUCGCGUUUGAGUGAACGAGCUCAGCACUGAGCUCCCCUGUUGCGCUUUUAGCAUACUUACGGUAUGUCUGCAUCCAGUAGAUUUUUAUAAGUAGCUUAACGCAAAGAACUUGGUCGAAGAAAAGGUUCUCUGUACCAUUAUGUUUUGUGAAUUAUAUCUUAUUAGACAUAAACAUCAUGUCAGUGGAACUGAAGGUCGGUGAUGAUGAUUUAUGGUCUGUGACAUCUCAGCGUGGUUCUGGUUACUUUGGUUAAGUGAUUAGACAGGUGUCUGAAGAGUCGUUUGCUUUGCAGCCUCGUGUAAAAGACACUCAGAAACAAGGCAUGUCGUGGUGGGCGGGAAUGGCCCUUCUCCUCUCAUAACAUCUUUGCAGUCUAGUUUAUAACCUGUUCAAGAAAAAAACAGGUCAGCUCUCGUUGGUGAUUCUUAUCAGAGCUUUAUCUGGCUCUCUGUGGUGAGGUCCGUGAGGAGCUGCGUCUCACGGAGAGAGAAAAAGUCCCGUUAUUCUGCCUGUUGUCACACUCCACACUUGGACUGGCCCUGGAGAGCAAGAAUGAAGAUUCCAUACUGCAUGUAGUUCUCUUCUUUUGGCCAGAGAAACCGACGUAGGCAGAUUGACAAGAACGUAGCUGGUGGGUGAUGGAAGCCAUGCGGGUGGGUGUCACGCAUGCAUCGUUCCCAGUAACCAGCCCUCCAUGCAUGUUGCAGUAAGAGCCACGG